GUGCUCACUUCAGCAGCACAUAUAGUAAAAAAUUGAAAUGAUAUAGAGAAGAUUAGCAUGGUCCCUGUGCAAGGAUGACAUGCAAAUCUGUGAAGCCUUCCAUAUUAAA
ensembl:snRNA U6 U6 spliceosomal RNA